CGGGACUUAGCUCAGCCUGGUCAGAGCACCUGCCUUGGGCGCAGGGGGUCGUGAGUUCGAAUCUCACAGUCCCGACCA
rnacentral:tRNA from 1 species